GGAAGUGACUGUAGGUUUAGAUGAAUGGAAAAUGAACUUGCCAGUUCACAGCUAUGUCCUUCCCAAUUUAGGAGGUUAAGGGCAGGAAAAACAUGAGAAACUCUUUUGAGAAGCUGCACAAGCUGACAUGGAGGAUCAAGGAUUUCAAAAGCUUUGAAUAUAAAGAGGUGUCAGACUUACAUCAGAGCCUGAGACUUGACAUGCCUAUUUUUGCACUCGCUCAUUUUUCAAAUUUCAUAGGCAUUGCUCCCUCCAAAUCACCGCUCUUCUAAUUUUAUCCUGGAGUGUGCAUCCCAGAAGACAUAAGCUGACACAAUUGGGAACUGAAGUUGCUUGAAAAAGCUGGUGGUAAGAUUAGACUCUAGACAGCUUAUACGUAUUUGGACAAGGCAACGUGAUGAAGAAAUAAUAUAAUUGUAGGAUCACCUCUGUCCAGUAGCUGUUAUCCAACAUCUGCAUACUUAGAUUUCUGGAGAGGUAGGUAAACUACUGUAUUAGAAAACACUAGAAGUGCAUGAUUGUAUUUUUCAUGUCCAAAGUCUAACACAUUAAAAGAGAAAAGGAUUCGAAAAUUAUCUACUUUGAAAGUUUUAAACAAAAGUGAAUUUUCUUGGUUAAAUAUCCUAUUUAAUUGCCUUUCUAAAAAUAGCCUAAAUGUCCAUUGUUUGAUAUAUGUGGUGAGAUAUUUUUUAAAGUACUUAAUUAUAAUGUUUUAUUUGAUGAGACUAGCUAUUUGGUAUUUUUUUAAAUGGAAAGGGGGCAAACAUACUUAAUAAAAUGCAAAAAUAGUACUGGAAAAAUAUUUUAAAUGAUUGCUAAGUAUUUUAGUGAAUACCUAAUUGCAUUAAUUUGCUGAGACUGCCAUAACAAAAUAAGACACAUUAAAUGGCUUGAACAACAUAAAUUAUUUUCACACAAUUCUGGAGGCCAGAAGUUUAAGAACAUGGUGUCUGCAGGUUUGACUCCUCCUGAGGCUUUUCCACUCUGCUUGCAGUUGUGUGCUUUCUCACUGUAUCCUCACACUGUCUCCCUCUGUCUGUGUGUUCUACAAUCUAAUCUCCUCUUCUUACAAGGAUACCAGUCAUAUUAAAUUAAAUCUGCACCCUAACGACCUAAUUUAAUUUAAUUAGCUCCUUAAAUAUUUUAUCUCCAAAUACAGUUACAUUCUGAAGUACUACAGAUUAGGACUUCAACAUAUUAAUUCUGGGGGGAGGGACACAAUUCAACUCAUAGCACUUGUGUUGUUCAUCUCAUAGAAAUAUAACUUUCUAUGGGUCUUUCACAACAAUGAAUGUUAGAUGAAUGCUAUGGUUUGAAUGUGUUCCUUCCAAAAUUCAGGUGUUGCCAAUGUGAUGAUUUGCUUUGUUUUGUUUUGUUCCUUUGAGACAGAGUCUUUCUCUGUCACCCAGGUUGGAGUGCAGUGGCACCAUCUCGGUUCACUGCAACCUCCACCUUUGAGGUUCAAGCAAUUCUCCUGCCUCAGCCUCCUGAGUAGCUGGGACUACAUGCGCGUGCCACCAAACCCAGCUAAUUUUUGUAGUUUUUAGUAGAGUUGGGGUUCACCAUAUUGGACAGACUGGUCUUCAACUCAUGACCUCAAGUAAUCUGCCUGACUUCGCUUCCCAAAGUGUUGGGAUUACAGACAUAAGCCACCAUGCCUGGUCCAAUACAAUGAUAUUAAGAGGUUGAUGCUUGUAUACAUGUGUAACUAGCCUGCACAUUGUGGACAUGUACCCUAAAACUUAAAGUAUAAUAAUAAUAAAAUAAAUAAAUAAAUAAAUAAAUAAAAAUAAAAUAAAUAAAAAAUAAAGAGGUGAUGCUUUAAAGAGGUGAUUAGGUCAUGAGGACUUCUUCCCUCAUUAGUUGGACUAAGGUCCUUAUACAAGAGGCUUCACACACCAUUUGGUUCUAGCUGUGCUUCUGCCUCCCACCAUGUGAGGACACAGCAUUUCCCCCUCUGGAGGAUUUAGCAACAAGCAACCAUCUUGGAAGCAGAGAGCAACCAUUUCCUAGACAACCAAACCUGCUAGAGCCUGGAUCCUGAACUUCUCAGCCUUCAAAAUUAUGAGAAAUACUUUUCUGAUUAUUAUUAGCUACCCAGUUUCAAGUAUUUUGUUAUAGAAGCACAAAAUGGACCAAGAUGAUGAAUUUCUGAGACUGCUGACACCAUCAUAGGAGCAACAUGUUUAUUGUGUAAUCUCUUGAGACUUAUCUCAAGUUAGAAAGAAGGAGGAAUAGAUUCUACUGCCCACAGACAAAGAUUCUUUGAACUUUGGAUUUUGAUGGAUCUAAGCACAAUAUUUAAUUGUGAGUACAUGUUAUUAAACUGAAGAACAAAAGAAAGUUAUAUGUAUUUAUAGAUGUUUGUGGAGAAAGAUGAAAAAAUAUUGACAAUACUCGACCUGUACAAUGCAGAGUUGAUGAAAUUCAGAAAGUAUGAUUGCAGGAAAACAAAGCUAGUUGGCUUCCAACUGGUAAAAGUUCACACUAUGAAGAAUUAACUCCCUCACACUUCCUGUCUGUAUAGCCCUAUGCCUUCACAAGAACAAGUUCCCACACCAGGGUCAAGAAGGAAACCGUAAGUCAAGACAAAAGUGCCCAGUGAAGGCAGAAGAUGAGGGGUCUCAGGUUGCAUCUUCGGAGGCACGAGGAUUCAAAGGUGAACAAAGCACACAGUACAUCAUUUGAUGUGGUAAGUUUCAUGGACAUAGAAGUAAGGGGGAUGAAAUGUCGAGGUGUGUGUGGCGGGGGAGGAGGGGAAUUCAAAUGAUAUUCUGAUCAUUAAAUAAACUUGAAACAAACUUGGAAAGGUGAAGUAAAACAGCAGCCAUUUUCCUGACACUCAAGGAUUGCUUCUGCAGGUGGAGAAAACGACAGCUUCAGAUAUUCUAUGAUGUACAGAUGCCAUUUAUCAAAUUCUUUGAUUUCAAGUAAUAAUGGUGUUGGUGCAGCCAGAGUUGCAAAAGAGGACUGUUGAUUCCAACACAGUCUCAAAGAUGGUUGAAUUAUGUGCUUCUACUAAUGUGUCUGUUAUUCUGGAGCCCAUAUUUGGAAACCCAGUCUAAAAAAUGCAUCUUAAUCCCUAUCUAUGAUUUUGAAACCAUUUAAUUAUUUACUUCUCCAUAUGUCUGAAGGCAGUACUACACAUUGGAAGUUUGAGGAAAUAGGAUACUUAAAUAUUUAUUUAAGAUAAUUGAAGAGUAAUUAGUCCAGGGAAAGAUUAUAGGAUUCCCUAGAGGUAUAGGGCCUACUGGAGGUGAUCAAAUUAAAAUGAAGUCAUUCAUAAUGAUUUUUUUUCACUAGUCCUCUCAUGCCUGCAUGAUGAGAAGAUAUGAACAAGUAAAUAAUUGGACUUAACCUGUGCUUUUCCUACUUGCAUAAAAUGAGGAUGUUAAUGGGAAUUGUGGAUAUGUGAAAGAUGAAGAUUAUGAUGAUAGGCCACAGAAUUUAAGUUUAGUAAAAUGGAAAGUGAGAGCAUUUGGUGGUUAGAGAGUAAAAAGGUAGUAGAAACCAUGGUUUGGACAAGGCAAUUAAAUAGGAGUGAAGUAGAGCAAAUAAAAGGAAACACUAUUAAGGCAGAAGGUUGAUACUAUAGAAUUCUGAGAUAAUAAUCAACUAUUGUUUGGAAAUAAAAUUUGUUUAUAUUUAUACUUGCUUAUUUUACCAUCUCAUUUUUUGGUUAAAGUUACAAGAAGUAGAGUUAUGUCCUAGUUUUCUGUAACCAGUGACAAUAGUAAAAACAAGAAUUAAUUGACCACAUACUAUUUUUGAGACUAUUUUAUGUGAUUUUAUUGAUUAAAUAAUUGAUAUUUCAAACAACUCUGUGAAAAAGGAAAUAUCACUAAGCCUAUUACAUAGACAAAAAAGAAGAGCAGAGAAGCAAAGCAUCACAGGGCUGGUAAAUUGCAGAGCUGAGAUUAGAACGAAGUAGUUUGACUUUAGAGCCUGCGUGCUUACCUGGACUUUUUCACUUUCUUGACCAGAAUUUAGAUCUGAUUUCUAGCUAUCUUUCUUUUUUCCCACAUAGCCAUUUUAUCUGACUGAAAGAUUAUAGAAAUAUGUGCACAACUGGACUGAAUACUUGAUUGUAUAGUUAACUCAUAGUGAUGCCAGCCUCUAAAAUGGCUUACAUGAUGAAAUGAAGAAGUAUCUCUGCUAUAAAGGCUUUGGAGUAAUGUAUUUGUGACCAUAUUUGUUCAUGUUUGUAACAACAUCAGACUAAAAUGGAGAGUUCUGAUCGGCUGCACAAUAACCACUGUGCAAACAUUCAGCACAGUCAUCAAAAUAUCAAAAACAGAAAAAAAAAAAUCCAGGUAAUGUAAGGCUAUAAUCAUUUCAGAAUAUUUAUUAAAUUUAAAUUCAUUGUAAAUAAUUCUGAAUCUCAUACCUCAUUAUCACAGACUUAAUCUAGAUAAUAAAUAUAAAAAUUACAUUAAAAAUUCUGUAAACUAUAAAAAAAUUAAAAAGGAUUUGAUACAGACUUGAGUUUUGGUUUGUUUAUAAUCUUGACUGUUGCUAUAUUGACCCUUAAUUUCAACAGUCACUGAAAAUCAUAAGGUAAAAUUACUUCCCAGUUUUUUUUUAAGUUUCUUAAUUAGAAUUUGCUUUCUGAGAACACUCAAAACAGCUUUAUGUGCCAUGCAAAGUAAUUAGGGGAAUUCUUAUUACUCUUGCAACUAGGAGAUGGAAGCAUCAAAAAAUUAAUUGAAUAAUAAAUAUCACCAUAGGGAAACAACAUUAUUUGAAUAUCACCAUCCUUCUGGCUUGAAUCCCAGAAUGAAGGAAACUGAUGGAUUUUCAGAAAGGUAGGAAACAAUGUACAGGUUUUGUUUUCAAUAAUUUUUUAUUCAAUUCUGUACAUGAAGCAAAUAUUUUACUUCUAAAAUAUCGGUCAUCGUUUUUCCAUUAUCUGAAAUUCUAUAGGAAACUCCAAGAAUGCAAAAGUGGUCAUAUGUGUGUUUGUGUUUGUGUGUGUUUGUCCAUAUAUUCAUUUUCUCAAAUGUACUAUAUAAGAGCCUCAUUAAUACUGAAGACUGCAAAAUAAAUCAUAAAAAUAUUUCAGCACUGGUUCCAAUUCAGGCAGAAUAAGUGGAACAUACAUCUGCUGCAUGUUUUAUUUUAUUAUUUAAAAUAUCCAACAAUAAAAUGGAAGAUGAAAUGGUUUGCUCAUUUAAUUUCCAGAUAUCACCUCAUUUUGAAGAGAUAAAUGUGGUAUCACCUGGAGAUUGUUACAAAAUAUUUCAAAUGGAAAGGCAAGUGUAAAACCCAGAAUAACAUUGUGAAGCCAAUAUUGAUCAAUAGGUGGAGCAUAUUACCGGAAACAGGAAAUUGUUACGUUGAAUGAUUUCUCCAUUUAGGUGCUACAGGGGCAUGAGAGGCCAUUGGAAUUCUACCUUAUGGGUCUCUUCCCCACUGCUAACUAUGUAAACUUGUGUUCUUGCACCUCUGAGGUGUGAUCUGAUAUCAUUUCUACAAUCCUCCAUGUAUUAGUCUGUGUUCACACUGCUUUAAAUACCCGGGACUUGGUAAUUUAUAAAGGAAAGAGGUUUAAUUAAGUCACCAUUUGGCAUGACUGAGGAAGCCUCAGGAAACUUACAAUUAUGGUGGAACAGGAAGCAGACACUUUCUUCACAAGUUGGCGAGAAAAAGAAUAGCAAAGGAGAAACUUUCAAACACAUAAAAACCCAUCAGAUCUGAUGAGAACUCACUCAUUUUCACAAGAACCGCAUGGGGGAAGCUGCCCCCAUAAUCCAUUACCACCUCCCUUCCACAACACCUGGGAAUUGCAGGUCCCUCCCUUGAUACAUGGGGAUUAAAUUCAAGAUGAGAUUUGGGUUGGAACACAGAGCCAAACCAUAUCAUUCUGCCCCUUGCCCCUAGCAAAUCUCAUGUCUUUUCACAUUUCAAAACCAAUCAUCCCUUCCCAACAGUCCCCCAGUCUUAACUCAUUCCAGCAUUAACUCAAAAGUCCACAGUCUGAAGUCUCAUCUGAGACAAGGCAAGUGCCUUCCACCUAUGAGCCUGUAAAAUCAAAAUCAAGUUAGUAACUUUUAUACCAUGGGGAUUUAGGCAUUGCAUAAAUGCUCCCAUUCCAAAUGGGAGAAAUAGGCCAAAACAAAGGGGCUACAGACCCCAUGCAAGUCCAAAAUCCAGUGGGACAGUCAUUAAAUCUUAAAGCUCCAAAAUGAUCUCCUUUGACUCCAUAUCUCACAUCCAUGGAACGAGAGUGAGCAAUGUAUUAAAGAAACAGGUUUAAUUGACUCACAGUUCAUCAUGGCUGGGGAGGCCACAGGAAACUUACAAUUAUGGUGGAAGGGGAAGCAGGCAACUUCUUCACAACUGGGCAGGAAAGAGAAGACUGGAGGAGAAACUUCCAAACACUUAUAAAUUCAUUAGAUCUCAUGAUAACUCACUCACUAUCAUGAGAACACCAUGGAGAAAACCAUCCCCAGGAUCCAAUCACCUCCCUCCCUUGAUACUUGGAGAUUACAGGUCUCUCCCUUGACAUGUGGGAAAUACAAUUCCAGAUAAAACUCGAGUGGGGACACAGAAUCAAACCAUGUCACUCUACCACCACAAUUACUCUGUUAUUCGCCAACAGGAAAUAUUUUACUUCUUCAAAAAAGGCACUUUCACCUGUUUUCUUUAUUGCUAUGUGAUGUUCAUUCAAUCUCACUUACCCAGUGCAGUUUCCCCAGGCCCAGAGAUUUCUGGUUAACACCUAUUCUUGGCAUCUUAGUUGGUUAUCAAUUUUUUCCAGAAUAUAUUUAUUGACCACUACCCCACUCCAUUCAUUUUGAUUAAAUGUGUUAAACAUAACCCAUGAAACCAGCACUUUCAUGUCAAUCUAUAGUUUUCAUAAUCUUAGAAUUCUUCAGAUUUUAUUGAACUUAGUUUUGUUCAUUUAACCCUCAAACUUGUAAGCUUGGUGGAAUUUUGGUUUGGGGUUCUUUAUAUCUCUAGUACUUAGCACUAAGCAUGGCAUAAGUUCUCAAGAAACAUUGACAUUAAUUGGUGAUUUGUUAAAUUUUCAUUUUAUUCCCAAGGAGGUUCUUACUUCACAGGUUAUUCAUAUAACAUUUUGCAAAGUAAAAAUGUUAAAAACUAAUCAUAUUUUUAACUGUAUGUGCUUUCCAUUUGUAUAUGUUCCAUGUGAGUAUUUUAAAUUUAUAAGCAUAACGUAUACAUUUAAAGCAAUAUACAAAACCUAGAAUAAGUAUUUUCUACAAAUUUAAAAAACUAUACAAAUAAAUUAAAAAUAUAGAUUUUAGCAAUUCUGAUUUCUUCAGGAUCUGCAGGACAACAGCCGCUUGUUUGUGAUUUAAAAGCACCAAUAAAAUUGAAUAUGAAUCACAUGAAUAAGCAGACCCCCACUCAAGAUUCAGGUACUGCAAGGUGUCUGCAUUUCGAGACAACACAGGGUUUCAAUUACAGCAAUUACUCAAGAUGUUAACAAGGGAUACUACUGUAAGAUUUUUAUGAUGGUCAAAGGAUAAAAUACAGCAGUAGAAAGAAAAUACAGACAAACAUCUAAGAUGAUUGAGACAUUGAGGCAUAUCUUCCAGGGUUAACUGUCAAUCACACAGGAUGUAAUUUGUCUCCAGACCAUGAACUGCCAAAAAUGUAUAAUAUCUUGGCUUGGGGAAGACUCAUUCAUACUCAAGGUGGUGUUUUUUAUAUUUUAUAACCCUCUGGAAGCAUGGCCAUAUUCAAUAGCAGAAAUAGGUCAAAACAGUCACCAGAUGCAAACAUGCAUUCUGGAUAUAUUCUGUACAGAAUGGAUUGGAAAGGUUGCAUUCCUUCUGGAAGAGGUAGGGAAGAACAAUUUCCUUGACUUUUCCAGGUUCUAGAGGCCACCAGCAUGUCUCAGCUUGUGUCUCCACAUCCCUCCAAAUUCUACUUCUUCUCAUUACAUCUUUUUUUGACUCUGAUCCUCUGACUCCAUCCUAUAAGGACCUUGUGAUCACAUGCAGGGUAACCUCUCCAUCUAAAGAUCCUCAACUCAUCACAUCCACAAAGUUCCAUAUACAAUGUAAAGUAAUAUCAGUAUCAGAUAUUAACAGGUAGAAAUCGUUUUGGAGGAGAUCCCACAGCCAGUUUUUAAUUUGGGCAUUGGGUGUUGGCAGAGGAACCAAGUGUAAAUUAUACCCCACCUGUUUAAAUUCUCAUAGAUUGGUGGGAUAAUAAUUAUCCUGUACAUCGAUUUACUGUACUUCUACUAACAAGAUGCUUCACCUGUCUGUUUGAAUAUCUGUAGGAAUAUGCCUCAUUUUUCAUCUUGAAUCAGUGUCCAUGAUCUUUCCCAAAUUUGACCUCCUUUAACAUGUUGUCCAACUGUUUGCUGAGUUUGUGUAAUCUAUUUUUAAAUCUAUAUUAUGUGUUCAAAUUUCUUGACACUUUUUAAAUAUCAUCCCUUCUAAUUAGCCAAUAAAAUCAACGUUUUUUCCCUCAAUAUGACUGUUUUUUAGGUUCAUUUAUCCUUUUCUAGGAAUCCUAUUUUUAUGUCAAUUAUAUUUAAGUCUCUUUUUCACAGCAACAUUUAAAGGUAUGAUCAUGAUGUCGUGUUUAGUGACCAAGCUUUUCUUAGGAUUUCAUAAAUUUAAUCCAUUUCCUGCCACUGCAAUUUUAGGCAGAGAAAAAAAAAUAGAAGAAGUGAAAAUGUAUGUAAAUUCCUAUGCCAUUCCCCAUUAUCGCUUUCCUAUAUUCCUUACCUUAUCUCAACCAUUGAUUAGAUGGUGACCUCUUCACUUCUACAUACAUUUGUUCAAUCAUGUGACUCAUCUCUUCGGUCUUUUCUGAAACCUCAGUUUUACAAACAGGUGUUUCAAUUGUCCUUUUUUUUUUAAAUCAGUCCACUAUCUUGUGACUUGUAAGGAAAAUGAUACUUUCAUCGUACAUGUUUCUUAACCUCAAACAAGUGUUAUGGUGCACCUGCAGAAAAAUGAUCUCUUCAUCAUUUGACAAAGCAGUGGAUCCAAACUGAAAUAAUGUUUCUAGCCAAAGACCCCUAGUAUCUUUAUGGCAUCUUGUUCAGGUACCAGAUAUCAGAUAUGCAAGUCCAAAUCCAGAAUCAAUAUAAUUUAAGUCAGUAUCCCCUAAUUAUUCAGUUAGAAUCCUGGAAGGUGGUUAAAUGUAACAGAUAUGUCAUUUAUGGGUCAGCCUGAUCCUCUUGGUAACAUGAAACAUAACUGUCUUUAGGCUUAUAUGUCUUUUGACAAAAGGCCAAGUGUUAUUCAAAGUUAAAUUUUUGAAGAAGAAAGUGGAGUAUUCUCCUUUUAUUCUGCUAAUUGUUGCAUUGCUCAAAUGACUUAAUUACCUCUCAUUAUGUCUACCUAAGAGGCCACUUCCAAUAAAAGAUUGAGGUCAUCAGUUUGUUUAUUUUAUUCCCCUGCUGAAGUAAGAAAUGCUUUUUUUUUCCUUCUCUAACUGCAUGAUAAUUUUUCAUAAUAAGCACUCGACACUGUGAUUCCUUUUAGUUUCCAGUCAUUUAAGGCCCAUUUUUUGACCACAUAGCCAGUUUAUUGGCUACUGUCCAAAACUGAUAUAAAUCCAUACACUAUUAUUAUUAUCACUCCCCAGUUUCUCUGAUAGCAUGGGCAACACCAUUUUCUUCCCAAUGAGUGGAUUUACCUUCACCCCUUAUGAAGUACGUGCAAUUAUCCACCAGUUGUAGUACAGCUGCUUCCAGAUUGAAGGCCAGCUCUCCACCGUUGAAAAGUAAACCCUGCUGUGUUUUUUUUGUUUUUGUUUUUGUUUUUGUUUUUGUUUUUUUGUUUUUUUGGUUGGUUUGUUUGUUUUUACUGAGAUGGAGUCUCAAUUUGUCACCCAGGCUGGAGUGCAGUGGCGCGAUCUUGGCUCACUGCAACUUUCGCCUCCUGGGUUCUCCUGCCUCAGCCUCCCUGUAGCUGGGAUUACAGGUGGGCGCCAUGAUGCCCAGCUAAUUUUUUGUAUUUUUUAGUAGAGACGGGGUUUUGCCAUGUUGGCCAGCUGGUCUCAAACUCCUGACCUCAGGUGAUCUGCCUGCCUCAGCUUCCCAAAGUGCUGGGGUUACAGGUGUGAGCCACCGUUCCUGGCCAAUCUGCUGCUUGUUUAGCAACCUCCAGUAACUGAUCAUAUAUAGGAACUCAUUUGGCAGUGAAGUGAGGGCAACUCCUCAGGAGGAACCAAAAUAACAAGACUCAAAGACAUGGAAGAAACUCUUCAUGUAGGCAAUAUGUGCCUCCAGGGGUCCUCCGACACAGGUGCUUGAGCAUUUGAUGUGGAAACAUGUUUGUACAUUUCCCUCCCUACUGGAAUGUUGUUCUGACAUAGUCCAUUUCAUGAUGGGUAUAUGAUAUCAAAUAAUAAUUUAUGCAUUCUUAUAAUGAAGAAUUUUAAUAAUAAUAAUAAUAAAAGCAGUUUUAAAUAAAGCCCAGAAUAACAGUUGCCUUUCAAAGAAAUGUAUUUAGUAGCAGCCUCAAGUCACUUUAUAGUAAAAUCUUAACAGUUAUGGGUGGCAGUUAAGAACUUAUUCCAAAAUUCCUAGUAAUGUGAGUACAGUGGCUGACAUUUCAAAUACCGUUGAACCUGUUUGGCAUUCUCAGAGGAAUUAUCUGGGUUAUUACUCUUUGAAGCUCCAAGAGAGAUGGCUUUUGCUCAGAGUCCCAUGCAAAUUAACUUUCAUAAAAAUAAAUUGGUAAACACAAAACAAAGAAAAAAAUAGUUUGAAUAAUAGGUUAGUAUGUUCCUCAAUAUAGUAUGAAAUUUCUCUAGAAACCAAAAAUCCUAUUAGUCUUGUGCACCUUUUUGGAUUUGGAGCUUGCAGAGAAUAACUUGUAUGUGUAUGUGUGUGUGUGUGUGUGUGUAAGAGCUCUAGUAUCUCUGACCCAGGUAAUUCCUAAUAAUUUCACCAUUUUGCUGUCCCAGUAUUUUAACCAGCUAUUUAUUAGUUAACCCCCAGUUGUCAAACGAUGAGUCCAGGGAGAAAUGAACAUUAUAUCAUAAACAUAAUGAAUUACAAUAUUUUAAAUAAAAAUCUAAACCUCAGGUUGUCGUGAUAAGAAAUAUAAUUUUAAUAUUUCUGGGGGUGAAAAUAAACAUGUAUUGGAAUCAACCCCACAGGAAUACAAAUAAUGUUUUAUUUUCUCCUGAAAAGAAAGCAUUAAUCAAAUAGGUUACAGAAUAAAAUGACCCUUAGCUUGUUGGUUAGUGCUAGGAUAACCUAUAAUCU
rnacentral:lncRNA from 1 species